CCUUGAUUGAAAGGGUUUCAAGAGACACAGCAACCCUGGGAAGAGCAUUGUGUUAAAACAGAUAGCAGAAGUUGGCUAUUAAUGAGAGAUGGUUCUGGGCUGCUGCUGAGACAGCAUGAAGAUUUAAAAGCUCUCUACCCAAUCUGCUACAUCAGCUUCCGAAAGCCCAAUGAGUAGAAUACGGAGUUAGAAGUUUUGUUGCCUUUGCCUGGCUGAACUGAGAAGGUGAUCCUGAACAAGGUUUCAGAAGAAGAGCAGCCAAGGAGUCCACAUUUAUACCUGUGAAGCAAUGCAUCGUGAAAGCUAUUUAGACAGUGAAUAUCAUGGGAGAACAGUGAGCAGUCUGGACAAGAGACAUGUUUGUAUUUUCCUCUUUCAAGCGUACACAAGAACAUGGACAAAAAGACAGAUUCAA